UGGGGAAUUUCGGACAAUGGGGGAAACCCUGAUCCAGCAAUGCCGCGUGAGUGAAGAAGGCCUUCGGGUUGUAAAGCUCUUUUGUCAGGGAAGAAACACCGGCUCUAACACAGUCCGGGAAUGACGGUACCUGAAGAAUAAGCACCGGCUAACUACGUGCCAGCAGCCGCGGUAAUACGUAGGGUGCGAGCGUUAAUCGGAAUUACUGGGCGUAAAGCGUGCGCAGGCGGUUAUACAAGACAGGCGUGAAAUCCCCGGGCUUAACCUGGGAAUGGCGCCUGUGACUGUAUAGCUAGAGUGUGUCAGAGGGGGGUAGAAUUCCACGUGUAGCAGUGAAAUGCGUAGAUAUGUGGAGGAAUACCAAUGGCGAAGGCAGCCCCCUGGGAUAACACUGACGCUCAUGCACGAAAGCGUGGGGAGCAAACA
rnacentral:rRNA from 1 species